rnacentral:rRNA from 1 species
AUUGAACGCUGGCGGCAGGCUUAACACAUGCAAGUCGAGCGGGGUGAUGGUGCUUGCACUAUCACUUAGCGGCGGACGGGUGAGUAAUGCUUAGGAAUCUGCCUAUUAGUGGGGGACAACAUCUCGAAAGGGAUGCUAAUACCGCAUACGUCCUACGGGAGAAAGCAGGGGAUCACUUGUGACCUUGCGCUAAUAGAUGAGCCUAAGUCGGAUUAGCUAGUUGGUGGGGUAAAGGCCUACCAAGGCGACGAUCUGUAGCGGGUCUGAGAGGAUGAUCCGCCACACUGGGACUGAGACACGGCCCAGACUCCUACGGGAGGGAGCAGUGGGGAAUAUUGGACAAUGGGGGGAACCCUGAUCCAGCCAUGCCGCGUGUGUGAAGAAGGCCUUAUGGUUGUAAAGCACUUUAAGCGAGGAGGAGGCCCUUUUGGUUAAUACCCAAGAUGAGUGGACGUUACUCGCAGAAUAAGCACCGGCUAACUCUGUGCCAGCAGCCGCGGUAA